GAUGAACGCUGGCGGCGUGCCUAAUACAUGCAAGUCGAGCGAACCACUUCGGUGGUGAGCGGCGAACGGGUGAGUAACACGUAGGUUAUCUGCCCAUCAGACGGGGACAACGAUUGGAAACGAUCGCUAAUACCGGAUAGGACGAAAGUUUAAAGGUGCUUCGGCACCACUGAUGGAUGAGCCUGCGGCGCAUUAGCUAGUUGGUAGGGUAAAGGCCUACCAAGGCGACGAUGCGUAGCCGACCUGAGAGGGUGAACGGCCACACUGGGACUGAGACACGGCCCAGACUCCUACGGGAGGCAGCAGUAGGGAAUCUUCGGCAAUGGGCGAAAGCCUGGCUGAGCAACGCCGCGUGAAUGAUGAAGGCCUUCGGGUUGUAAAAUUCUGUUAUAAGGGAAGAAUGGCUCUAGUAGGAAAUGGCUAGAGUGUGACGGUACCUUAUGAGAAAGCCACGGCUAACUACGUGCCAGCCGCCGCCGUAA
rnacentral:rRNA from 1 species